GGACAUGAGAGAAUAAAUGUGAGACUGGCAAAUAUCCCAUUUUCUAAAGGAUACACCAAGGCUUUUUUGAACUAUAAAAGUAUCUGGCUGUGUCUUAAAGAGUAUUAGAUCCUUCUUAUGCAGUGCUUCUUUUGGAUUGUGGCCAGCUACCACUGGUGGCAAACAGCUCUUCUUGGGUUUCAAUAGGCACAAAUCAACAGCACUUCAUCAUCCUGCUGCCCGUACCACGGGCAUGCUCCUCCCCAGAGCUUCCCUGUCCACUCAGAGAGUCGAGAUACUGGCAGGCUCCACUCAUAUGCAGCCUGGAAUUAACAUCCCAUUGGGGUAAACAGAUCAAUUCUUACUUUCUCCCCAUAUGAAUUGUCCUGAGAUGCAUUAGUCCAUUCUUGAGGUCAAAUAACCAGUUGUUCCUGAUACCAAGUGUUGGCCAAUUUGGUAAAUCACGCUGGUCUUGGCUCUCCCUUCCCCAUCUCACUUCCUUUUUCCUUCACGCCUGCUUCCUUGGAUCUACACUCCUGAAAAAAGCAGUUGCUCAUAAACUUUGGUCUUGGGCUCUGCUUUUUAAGGAACUUACAUGACAACAGGGAAUGGUUUUCAGUAAGCAGCUUCCCUGGUGGCGCAGUGGUUAAGAGUCCACCUGCCAAUGCAGGGGACACGGGUUCAAGCCCUGGUGUGGGAAGAUCCCACAUGCCACGGAGCAACUAAGCCUGUGCGCCACAACUACUGAGCCUGGGCUCUAGAAGCCACCACAAUGAGAAGCGUGCACACCACAACGAAGAGAACAGCCCCCGCUCACCGCAACUAGAGAAAGCCCAUGCAUAGCAACGAAGACCCAAUGCAGCCAAAAAUAAAUAAAUAAAAUAAAUUUAAAUCACAGAUCAAUAGGUUUUUUUAAAAAAAAAAAGAAUACUGUAAGCAUCUUUUAAAGCUUUAUCUAAACUCUAGAAAUUGUAUAUUGUCUAUAGCACCAAGUAAUUAGUGUUAGCCUAAUUCAACUUAAAUUCAACAAUUAAAACACUUAAACAGUAAGAGUAUGUAUUCAUAUUUGUUUAUUAUUGCAUAAAGAUGUUACCCAGAUUUUGAAGCAAGGUCAGUGGAAACUGGCCAUACUGAAGAACAGGUGGGGACAAUGCUUUUCACUAAAUACCUUUCUAAAAACUUUUUAUAAUCAUGUGAACAUAUUACCUGUUUUAAAAUUAAGCUUACCAUUUACAAUCAGCAUGAGAUGAAGAUGCAGAGCUAUAAAUUCAUGAUGUAAUAAAUGGACUGAAAUUGCUCGUGAUUUUAUUUCUGGGCUUAUAGACUUAGAGUCAGAAUUUGAUAAUGGAGAGCCUUAAAUUAUAAUGAACAGGUGCACAUAAGCUGAUAGAAAUUGAUACUUGAUUUCAUAUUUCAGAACUUUCUCAGAUUACAAAAAUAAUGUGUGGUUAAUAUUUUAAAAAAAUAUUGGAAAGUACCAAAGUACAAAGAUAAUGAAAAUCACCUGUAAUUACAUCACCAAGAGAUUAAAAAACAUUGGUGCAUACACCUCUGGUCUUUUCUUAAGUGAUAUAUUACACAUAGGUGUUAUUUAAAGCCAACAGUAACUGAAUUUCCAAAGCAAGUUUCUCUUAUGAAACAGAAAUAACGGUUAAUGAUUUAAAUACUAUGGAUAUGAGGUUAGGCAUUUCAUAGACAUUCUCCCUUCAUCAUCACCUCAAUAUUAUAGAAGAGAUAGACCUCUUUCCCCCAUCCUACAGAGAAGGAAACUAAAGAUCUGAGAACUUGAAUGUUAGCAUGCCCAAAGGCUCACAGUUAAUAAAUGGCAAAACCAUGAUUC
ensembl:lncRNA